UGGGGAAUAUUGCACAAUGGGGGAAACCCUGAUGCAGCGACGCCGCGCGAACGAAGAAGGUAUUCGUAUCGUAAAGUUCUGUCCUAUGGGAAGAUAAUGACAGUACCAUAGAAGAAAGCUCCGGCUAAAUACGUGCCAGCAGCCGCGGUAAUACGUAUGGAGCGAGCGUUGUCCGGAAUUAUUGGGCGUAAAGGGUACGCAGGCGGUUUAAUAAGUCGAAUGUUAAAGAUCGGGGCUCAACCCCGUAAAGCAUUGGAAACUGAUAAACUUGAGUAGUGGAGAGGAAAGUGGAAUUCCUAGUGUAGUGGUGAAAUACGUAGAUAUUAGGAGGAAUACCAGUAGCGAAGGCGACUUUCUGGACACAAACUGACGCUGAGGUACGAAAGCGUGGGGAGCAAACAGG
rnacentral:rRNA from 1 species